GCGUUCGUGGUGUAUCGGUAACAUUGGGUCUUCCCAGUACACUCUCAAAAAUAUUGCCGGAGUGAAUAAUGGCCUAGCACCGGGUUCGACUCCCGGCGGACGCA